rnacentral:rRNA from 1 species
AGCCUGAUGCAGCGACGCCGCGUGAGGGAUGACGGCCUUCGGGUUGUAAACCUCUUUCAGCAGGGAAGAAGCGCAAGUGACGGUACCUGCAGAAGAAGCGCCGGCUAACUACGUGCCAGCAGCCGCGGUAAUACGUAGGGCGCAAGCGUUGUCCGGAAUUAUUGGGCGUAAACACCUCGUAGGCGGCCUGUCGCGUCGGAUGUGAAAGCCCGGGGCUUAACCCCGGGUCUGCAUUCGAUACGGGCAGGCUAGAGUGUGGUAGGGGAGAUCGGAAUUCCUGGUGUAGCGGUGAAAUGCGCAGAUAUCAGGAGGAACACCGGUGGCGAAGGCGGAUCUCUGGGCCAUUACUGACGCUGAGGAGCGAAAGCGUGGGGAGCGAACAGGAUUAGAUACCCUGGUAGUCCACGCCGUAAACGUUGGGAACUAGGUGUUGGCGACAUUCCACGUCGUCGGUGCCGCAGCUAACGCAUUAAGUUCCCCGCCUGGGGAGUACGGCCGCAAGGCUAAAACUCAAAUGAA